rnacentral:rRNA from 1 species
GACGAAUGCUGGCGGCGUGCUUAACACAUGCAAGUCGAACGGAAAGGCCCUGCUUUUGUGGGGUGCUCGAGUGGCGAACGGGUGAGUAACACGUGAGUAACCUGCCCUUGACUUUGGGAUAACUUCAGGAAACUGGGGCUAAUACCGGAUAGGAGCUCCUGCUGCAUGGGGGGGGUUGGAAAGUUUCGGCGGUUGGGGAUGGACUCGCGGCUUAUCAGCUUGUUGGUGGGGUAGUGGCUUACCAAGGCUUUGACGGGUAGCCGGCCUGAGAGGGUGACCGGCCACAUUGGGACUGCGAUACGGCCCAGACUCCUACGGGAGGCAGCAGUGGGGAAUAUUGCACAAUGGGCGGAAGCCUGAUGCAGCAACGCCGCGUGCGGGAUGACGGCCUUCGGGUUGUAAACCGCUUUCGCCUGUGACGAAGCGUGAGUGACGGUAAUGGGUAAAGAAGCACCGGCUAACUACGUG